rnacentral:rRNA from 1 species
UACAGGGGGGGGCAAGCGUUGUUCGGAAUUACUGGGCGUAAAGGGCUCGUAGGCGGCCAACUAAGUCGGAUGUGAAAUCCCCAGGCUUAACCUGGGAACUGCAUCCGAUACUGGAUGGCUUGAAUCCGGGAGAGGGAUGCAGAAUUCCAGGUGUAGCGGUGAAAUGCGUAGAUAUCCGGAGGAACACCGGUGGCGAAGGCGGCUUCCUGGACCGACACUGACGCUGAUGCGCGAAAGCCAGGGGAGCGAACGGG